rnacentral:rRNA from 1 species
GGGAUGUUCAUAACCCUUUGUUGUCCGACUCUGUUGCCUCCGGGGCGACCCUGCCUUCGGGCGGGGGCUCCGGGUGGACACUUCAAACUCUUGCGUAACUUUGCAGUCUGAGUAAACUUAAUUAAUAAAUUAAAACUUUUAACAACGGAUCUCUUGGUUCUGGCAUCGAUGAAGAACGCAGCGAAAUGCGAUAAGUAAUGUGAAUUGCAGAAUUCAGUGAAUCAUCGAAUCUUUGAACGCACAUUGCGCCCCCUGGUAUUCCGGGGGGCAUGCCUGUUCGAGCGUCAUUUCACCACUCAAGCCUCGCUUGGUAUUGGGCAACGCGGUCCGCCGCGUGCCUCAAAUCGACCGGCUGGGUCUUCUGUCCCCUAAGCGUUGUGGAAACUAUUCGCUAAAGGGUGUUCGGGAGGCUACGCCGUAAAACAACCCCAUUUCUAAGGUUGACCUCGGAUCAGGUAGGGAUACCCGCUGAACUUAAGCAUAUCAUA